CCUACGGGCGGCUGCAGUGGGGAAUAUUGCACAAUGGGGGAAACCCUGAUGCAGCAACGCCGCGUGGGUGAAGGAGCGUUUCGGCGCGUAAAGCCCUGUCAGCGGGGAAGAAGAAAGACGGUACCCGACCAAGAAGCCCCGGCUAACUACGUGCAAGCAGCCGCGGGAAUACGUAGGGGGCGAGUGUUAUCCGGAAUUACUGGGUGUAAAGGGAGCGUAGACGGGGAGGUAAGACUGAAGUGGAAGCCCGGGGCCCAACCGCGGAACUGCUUUGGGAACUGUUUAGCUGGAGUAAGAGAGGGGUAAGCGGAAUUCCAGGUGAAGCGGUGAAAUGCGUAGAUAUCAGGAGGAACACCGGUGGCGAAGGCGGCUUACUGGAUCAUAACUGACGUUGAGGCUCGAAAGCGUGGGGAGCGAACAGGAUUAGAUACCCUUGUAGUC
rnacentral:rRNA from 1 species